rnacentral:rRNA from 1 species
AUUGAACGCUGGCGGCAGGCUUAACACAUGCAAGUCGAACGAGUGGCGGACGGGUGAGUAAUGUCUGGGAAACUGCCUGAUGGAGGGGGAUAACUACUGGAAACGGUAGCUAAUACCGCGUACCAUAGGAUGAGCCCAGGUGGGAUUAGGUAGUUGGUGGGGUAACGGCUCACCAAGCCGACGAUCCCUAGCUGGUCUGAGAGGAUGACCAGCCACACUGGGACUGAGACACGGCCCAGACUCCUACGGGAGGCAGCAGUGGGGAAUAUUGCGCAAUGGGCGCAAGCCUGACGCAGCCAUGCCGCGUGUAUGAAGAAGGCCUUCGGGUUGUAAAGUUCUUUCGGUGGCGAGGCGUUAACUACAGAAGAAGCACCGGCUAACUCCGUGCCAGCAGCCGCGGUAAUUC